AGGCUUGUAGCUCAGGUGGUUAGAGCGCACCCCUGAUAAGGGUGAGGUCGGUGGUUCAARUCCACUCAGGCCUACCA
rnacentral:tRNA from 1 species